GAGUUUGAUCGUGGCUCAGAUUGAACGCUGGCGGCAUGCCUAACACAUGCAAGUCGAACGGCAGCGCGUUUGGGGUAACUCAAAUGGCGGCGAGUGGCGGACGGGUGAGUAAUAUGUAGGAAUCUGCCUUGAGGAGGGGGAUAACUUGGGGAAACUCAAGCUAAUACCACAUAAGACCUAAGGGUGAAAGCAGGGGAUCGAAAGACCUUGCGCCUUAAGAUGAGCCUACAUUGGAUUAGCUUGUUGGGGAGGUAAAGGCUCACCAAGGCGACGAUCCAUAGCUGGUCUGAGAGGAUGACCAGCCACACUGGGACUGAGACACGGCCCAGACUCCUACGGGAGGCAGCAGUGGGGAAUAUUGGACAAUGGGGGAAACCCUGAUCCAGCAAUGCCGCGUGUGUGAAGAAGGCCUUC
rnacentral:rRNA from 1 species